GAUGAAGAACGUAGCGAAAUGCGAUAAGUAAUGUGAAUUGCAGAAUUCAGUGAAUCAUCGAAUCUUUGAACGCACAUUGCGCCCGCCAGUAUUCUGGCGGGCAUGCCUGUUCGAGCGUCAUUUCAACCAUCAAGCCCCCGGCUUGUGUUGGGGACCUGCGGCUGCCGCAGGCCCUGAAAAGCAGUGGCGGGCUCGCUGUCACACCGAGCGUAGUAGCAUACAUCUCGCUCUGGGCGUGCUGCGGGUUCCGGCCGUUAAAAAGCCUUUUUUACCCAAGGUUGACCUCGGAUCAGGUAGGAAGACCCGCUGAACUUAAGCAUAUCAAUAAGCGGAGGA
rnacentral:misc_RNA from 1 species